GAAAAAAAAAAAAAGGACAAGAUUUAAUUGGAUCUGGCUUCCAGUUUCAAAGGUUCAGUUCAUUAGCUUCGUGGGAAGCAUUGCAGCAUCCAGGCAUACAUAGUUCUGGAGAAGGAGCUGAGAGUUCUACAUCUUGAUUGACAGGUAGCAAAGAGGAGACUGUCUCAAUACUAGGUGUAGCCUGAGCAUAAAUGAGAUCUGAAAGUCCACCUCCACAGUAAGGGGCUUACUCCAACAAGGCCACACCUACUCCCAAACUACGCUACACCUCCUAACAGUGCCACUCCCUAUGGGGCAAGUAUUUAAACACCUGAGUCUAUGGGGCUCAUUCCUAUUCAAACCACCAUACCAUCCUUGAUAUCAGUGAUUGAGGCACUGCUGGGAAUCUCAUCUGACACCAAGUGAGUAAUUUAUUCUAGUCUUCGUUGAGAUACCCUUCAGAGAAUACAUGUCUCUGUUAACUAUUUGGUCCUUACCAGUUAUAUCUGGUGUCUGAAGUCUCCUGCCUUCUGAGCAUUAAAAACAGAUGAGGUCCAAAGAGCAGAGUUACCCCCCUCUCUCAACCCUUUCCAAGCUGUACGUGUCACUUCCUAUCUUGGACUGUUAGAUUCAAACUUAAGGACAAAGGCUGCCUUAGGCAAACACCAGGUGGAAUUUAGGAAAACACCCAGUUCCAGGAAAUGAGCUAACCAUUCUUAGCAGGGGUCCUUCACCACCUGCUCUGCAUGCCAAAGGUAUUUCCCCAAGGGCUUCCAAUGAAUUCAAAGGACAAUAGGCGGCCACCAAUGAAUUAAAAAAGUAAUAGGCCCCACCAAAGAGAAAUAACCAACUCAUGCUGUAACCUAAAGCCUACACCUGAAACAGUAUAAAGGGCGUGGGCCUUUGUUCUUCAGGGUCGCCUCUGUCCCGAGUACAGGGUCACCCCAGUGUACUGGAUUAUUAAACCUCUUGCUUAUUGCAUCGAUCUCCAUCUCCGUGUUUUCAUGAGUGGGACCUCCUGAACAUAGGGCUGAUCAGGUUCUACAGGACCACUCCCCAUCUUGGUAGAAAUUGAAAAGCUAAAUAUUUGGACUCCCCAUGGAUCUUCAUCUUCUGUGUGCCACUGGGACCUGGAAAGAAGAGAAUAUUCUUGACAGGUGAUGCUUGCCAAGAGGAAGAAGAGAGAGAGAAAAAGAAGAUCGAUAGAUCCUGUUAUGGAGGAAAAUGGGUCAAGAAACUCUCUGACUCUGGAGCAGGUCUCAAGUGAACUAAGAAGAGUUGUCAUAACUUGAUCGCCCUGACUCUGCACUGCUUUCCUAAGAACCAAUCAAUAGUUCAACACAAGAGGGACUUGCCAGAUUCAAGUCAUAACAGUUGUCAAGUACAAAUAUAAGAUUCUUGCUUUUGUAUUGUCAUCUGAGUAAGAAGUAAACCAUGU
rnacentral:sRNA from 1 species